UGCAGUUGAUACUGUCAGUCUUGAGUACAGUAGAGGUGGGCGGAAUUCGUGGUGUAGCGGUGAAAUGCUUAGAUAUCACGAAGAACUCCGAUUGCGAAGGCAGCUCACUGGACUGCAACUGACACUGAUGCUCGAAAGUGUGGGUAUCAAACAGGAUUAGAUACCCUGGUAGUCCACACAGUAAACGAUGAAUACUCGCUGUUUGCGCUAUACAGUAAGCGGCCAAGCGAAAGCAUUAAGUAUUCCACCUGGGGAGUACGCCGGCAACGGUGAAACUCAAAGGAAUUGACGGGGGCCCGCACAAGCGGAGGAACAUGUGGUUUAAUUCGAUGAUACGCGAGGAACCUUACCCGGGCUUAAAUUGCAGUGGAAUGAUGUGGAAACAUGACAGUGAGCAAUCACCGCUGUGAAGGUGCUGCAUGGUUGUCGUCAGCUCGUGCCGUGAGGUGUCGGCUUAAGUGCCAUAACGAGCGCAACCCUUAUCUUCAGUUACUAACAGGUCAUGCUGAGGACUCUGGAGAGACUGCCGUCGUAAGAUGUGAGGAAGGUGGGGAUGACGUCAAAUCAGCACGGCCCUUACGUCCGGGGCUACACACGUGUUACAAUGGGGGGUACAGAAGGCAGCUAGCGGGUGACCGUAUGCUAAUCCCAAAAUCCUCUCUCAGUUCGGAUCGAAGUCUGCAACCCGACUUCGUGAAGCUGGAUUCGCUAGUAAUCGCGCAUCAGCCACGGCGCGGUGAAUACGUUCCCGGGCCUUGUACACACCGCCCGUCAAGCCAUGGGAGCCGGGGGUNCCUGAAGUACGUAACCGCAAGGAUCGUCCUAGGGUAAAACUGGUGACUGGGGCUAAGUCGUAACAAGGUAACCA
rnacentral:rRNA from 1 species